rnacentral:lncRNA from 1 species
AUUAACCAAACAGAUCAUAGACAAAGAUAGCAAUAAUAAGAUCAUGUCAGUGAGAAAUUUUAGCAUAAAAAUACAAGAAAAACAUUCAAUAUAGUCAUAAAUAGUGAUAAUAGUAGCACUAACCAACGUUAAGAGAGAGGACAUCAAAGUUCGUCGGUUUUAAUAGAGCCUUGCUAGAGAACGAGUAACCACGGUUAGAUCUAUAAAGAUUUUAGAGCAACAUAAAAUUAACAAUAACAAUAAUAGAAAAAAAUGGAGACAAAGCACUAAAAUAAUGGUGGUAGCAGUGUUGCUUCAGGUUGGAGCUCGCCGAUCACAGCUACAACAAAACAUUCACAGCAUUCGAGUUACAUCGGAAGAGAGGGAGACGGUGCGUGGUGUGCUUGAUAUCUUGAAACUUGCCUUUCGAUGGCCAAAUCUGGUGAGGCAAUGGGAAAAUGAAAAAAGGGAGAGGAAGAAGGGCGACAGUGGUAGCUGUUGUAUAGUUUGCCGGCAACCAGAUCCGGUGAAGCCCGAUAGGACAAGGGGAGAAAGAGAGAGGUCGAAGAGAGGUGCGGUGGUUGUUGUACAUUGGUGGUGUUUUUAGUGGUCGUCGACCAUCCGAUGGUCAAUCCUAGUGGCGGUAGAUCGGCGAGGAGGAAGAUAAAAUGGUCGGAGCCCGUUCGAUUGAGCUCCGACAGUGAUGACGACAGUGAGGGGUAAAGAGAGAGAGAUGUGUAUGUGUGUGGUGAAUUGUGUGUUGUGUGUAUUGUUG